AGGGCAAACGGUGAAUGCCUUGGCAUCAGUAGGCGAUGAAAGACGUGGUAAGCUGCGAUAAGCCUCGGGUAGGAGCAAACAUCCGUUAAUCCGAGGAUUUCUGAAUGGGGAAACCCGGCUGGAGUAAUGUCCAGUCACUGGAGUUUGAAUAAAAUAGAGCUUCAGAGCGACACCCGGGGAAGUGAAACAUCUCAGUACCCGGAGGAGUAGAAAUCAAUAGAGAUUCCGCAAGUAGCGGCGAGCGAACGCGGAACAGCCCAAACCAAUGUGCUUGCACAUUGGGGUUGCGGGACCACAAUGUGGGAUUGGUAAGGAAUAGUGGAAUACUUCUGGAAAGUUGAACCAUAGAAGGUGAAAGUCCUGUAUACGAAAUUCCAAACCACCCUAGUGGUAUCCCAAGUAGGACGGGACACGUGAAACCCUGUCUGAAUCUGGGGGGCCCACCCUCCAAGGCUAAAUACUAACUGAUGACCGAUAGUGAACCAGUACCGCGAGGGAAAGGUGAAAAGUACCCCUGUUAGGGGAGUGAAAUAGUACCUGAAACCGCCUGCCUACAAACUGUGGGAGCUCUUCGGAGUGACCGCAUGCCUUUUGCAUAAUGAGUCCGCGAGUUACGAUAUGUGGCAAGGUUAAGUCUUAAGGACGUAGCCGAAGCGAAAGCGAGUGUUAACUGCGCGUUGAGUCGCAUGUCGUAGACCAGAAACCGAGUGAGCUACCCAUGGCCAGGGUGAAUCCACUGUAACAGGUGGGGGAGGCCCGAACCAUUGCAUGCUGAAAAAUGCUUGGAUGAGCUGUGGGUUGGAGUGAAAGGCUUACCAAACUCGGUGAUAGCUGGUUCUACUCGAAAUAGCUUUAGGGCUAGCCUCACGUGGUAACGGUUGGAGGUAGAGCACUGACUGGAUGAUGGCCCUUACCGGGGUACUGACGCCAUUCAAACUCCGAAUGCCAGCCGUGAAAUCGUGGGAGUCAGACUGCGGGGGAUAAGCUCCGUAGUCGAAAGGGAAACAGCCCAGACCGCCAGCUAAGGCCCCAAAAGCAAGCUAAGUGACUAAGGAUGUGGGAUUGCAUAGACAGCUAGGAUGUUGGCUUAGAGGCAGCCACCAUUUAAACAGUGCGUAAUAGCUGACUAGUCGAGUGAUUCUGCGCCGAAAAUGAUCGGGACUAAGCUUGCUGCCGACGCUGCGGAUGCGUCUAUCUUCGGAUAGAUGCGUGGUAGAGUAGCGUUCUAUAUGGAUUGAAGCGUAAGGGGAACCGAACGUGGACUGUAUAGAAGUGAUUAUGCGGACAUGAGUAACGAAAAGUAGGGUGAGAAUCCCUACCGCCGAAAUCCUAAGGUUUCCUGGGGAAGGUUCGUCCUCUCAGGGUUAGUCGGUCCCUUAGCCGAGGCCGAAAGGCGUAGGUGAUGGAAAAUCAGUUCAAUAUUCUGAUACCACGGAAUCAGCACUUGAGCAAUGGAGUGACGCAGGAGGAUAGGCCAGCCGUCGAUUGGAAGUGACGGUCUAAGCACGUAGGGGGUUCUGGCAGGUAAAUCCACCGGAACAUAUUCCCUGAAAUGCGAUGGGACGCAGAUUCUUCGGAUGAUGCGGAUUGGUUGAUUCCAUGCUGCCAAGAAAAACUUCUAGCGAGUUGAUUCGGUGACCGUACCUAAACCGACACAGGUGGGAGGGUAGAGUAUACCAAGGCGCGCGAGAGAAACCACGUUAAGGAAUUCGGCAAAUUAGCCCCGUAACUUCGGGAUAAGGGGUCCCUUUGGUUGUGAUCAUUUAUGUGAGCAAUCGGAGGGCGCAGUGAAAUGGCCCAGGCGACUGUUUACCAAAAACAUAGCACUCUGCUAACUCGUAAGAGGAUGUAUAGAGUGUGACACGUGACCAAUGCCGAAAGGUUAAGGCAAGGGGUGAGAGCUCCGACCCGAAGCCCCCUGGUGAAUGUCGGCCGUAACUAUAACGGUCCUAAGGUAGCGAAAUUCCUUGUCGGGUAAGUUCCGACCUGCACGAAUCGUGUAACGAUCUGGGCGCUGUCUCAACGAGGAUCUCGGUGAAGUUGUAAUUCCGGUGAAGAUGCCGGAUACCCGCAGUAGGACGGAAAGACCCCGUGAACCUUUACUGUAUUCUGACAUUGGGGUUUGGUUUAUCAUGUGUAGCAUAGCUGGGAGACUUCGAAGUCAUCUCGUCAGGGAUGGUGGAGUCAACAGUGAAAUACCAGUCUUGAUAAGGCGAGCUUCUAACCCUGAUCCGUGAAUCCGGGUGGGGGACAAUGUCAGAGGGUCAGUUUGACUGGGGCGGUUUCCUCCCAAAUUGUAACGGAGGAGUUCGAAGGUACACUCAGCAUGGUCAGUAAUCAUGCGUAAUUACUAAUACCUUCAACAGGUUAAGAUAAAAAGAUUUUGUGUACAGCUUAAAGGUCGAGCACUAUUUGUUUCGACUUGGCGCGCGAUACACAGACGCACAUAUAUUCAUUGCUGGCUUUUUCUUCAUCAGAAAGUAUCUCGUCGCGAUGAUCAGGAUCACCUUCUAAAACACC
rnacentral:rRNA from 1 species